rnacentral:tRNA from 1 species
CGAGGUGUAGCGCAGUUUGGUAGCGCAUCUGGUUUGGGACCAGAGGGCCGCGGGUUCGAAUCCUGCCACCUCGACCA